GUUUGCUUUGACCAAAAUGGAAAUCCUCCAGCAAUCUUAUCUCCUUUUGUAUUUCACAUUUUCACUGAUGUUUUGGAUUCUCCUUUUCAUCCGUUUUCAUCUUCCAGCGCUUUUAAUCACGUCGCACGUUCUCCCUUUCAUGUCUUCCGUUUCCUUCGAUCGUGUGAGCAGAACCGGAACAGGGCGCGAAUGAGGCGAAGCAGAUGAGAUUGAAGGCGGAUUUCAAUCUUCUGGGCUUUGGGGGUUCUUUGCUUCUUGCAGAAAUUGGUGGAAUGAUAUGGGGUUUAGGGUUUCUGCCGCUCUUUCCAUCAUCAGGAUUUGGUCUGGACAGCCUUCCUUCCAAGAUUAAUCUGAACCAGAGCAUGUCAUUUCCGUCAUCAUCGUCCAGGUUUUGCGAAUACUAGGAGACGACAACGUGCGGCCACAAAAGGGCUCCCAUGAAGUCCUCAGCAAGCGCCGACGAUUUCCGGAAUUUUCGUCAAAUUUCGGGAGAGUUGCCCAUGAAAUCGUCGUUGGGGGGUUCUCUAAGGACUAAGGUGGUGAUUCAGAAAUUUGAAAGCUUUUGGAUUUUCUCAUGCGUUAAUUUGUGGGUGUUUUUAUAUGUGUGAAUUUUUUAAGCUUACUUAUGUUGUCGUUGUUCGUGAAGCACUAGAGCCAUUGGAUGAAUUGAAGCAAGGGUGACUGAGGAAGUGGUGAAUGAUGGGGAGGGUUUUUUUUGAAGAAUUUGGGUGAUGAGAAGCCUGCAACCGAGGAAAAAGAGGCAGCAUAUGGAAACAAGGAAAGCCCUGUUAAUGAAAGUGAAGAAAAGGAGCCUGAGGACAAGGAGAUGACACUGGAAGAAUAUGAGAAGGUGCUGGAAGAGAAAAGAAAAGCCCUGCAAGCACUCAAGACUGAAGUGAGAAAGGUGGAUGCAAAGGAGUUUGAAUCCAUGCAGCCACUUUCCCACAAGAAAGACAACGAUGAGAUCUUUGCUAAAUUGGGAUCUGACAAGGAUAAGCGCAGAGAUGCUAUUGAGAAGGAGAAAUCAAAGAAGAAAAGGGGAAGGUAAGCAACACAACAAUGAAAAUGACUCCCUUUCCGAGAAUCGCGACAGGAUCAAUGAGCAAGCUGAUUCUCCACCUCUGGUGGCUUCUCUGUCUUAGAUACCAGCAUGGAUUCAGGGUGAAGAGGAGCACAGCGGUGUAUCCAGCAAGUCGUCCUUUUCCUCCUCUGAUUCUCACCAUCGAUGAAAACGAUUUUGGGUGUUUCAUCUGUCAUCUAAAAGCAAGGAGGGCGAGUGAAGCAGCAAGCACCAUUGAACACCGAGUGGUGAACCCUUUGAAUGAGUGUCACGGUUUCGAUGCUGCUCCUUUUUCCAUGUUCCGCGUUCCUAACCUCGAUUAUGUGGUGCUUUUUUGGUGUUCAACACCGCAGCACAUUGAUUAUGGUGGUGAGUCACCCCCCAUGAGGUCAAUGUUAGUAGGUUUUGGUUGCUCAAAAGUUCCUUCUUAAUGAGAGUGUUUUUUUCUCUGCAAUUUUAGGGUUUGAUCUCUCAAGUUCUGAAAUUAUGUUUUGCUACUGAUGUUGUGGGUCUCUCUUGAGGUCCUAUUUUCAUGUGAGUAUGUCUUCCAUUGUUUGUUUUAUGCCAAAAUAAUUUACUAAACAUAUGACUUUGCCUAUUGUAGCAGAUAAUGUUUGCCUGAAUAUAUCACGCCAUGGUUCAGCAAAAUUUUAUUUUAUUCAAUCUCCAAUACUCAGGACUAGGCUCCUCCACCUUCCUCCUUGCUUGCCAAAUCUGGCGGUGCCAAGAAGAAGGUUUGCGUUUCUCUCUUUUUUUGGUUUCGUUUCUUUUUCUCCCCUUAAUGUAAUAUCUCUUGAUGGGAGUAAUCGGUUGGAUUUGUUUUAUUAUCCAUGAUGGGUGUCAGAGCUCACAUAAAAAAUUUGAUACCAAUAAUUUUCUACAAAGAAUAAAUUUUUGUUACGAUUUAUGCAAUAUGAAAGAUGGGGUGUGUGGUAUAAAGGUCAUAUAUUUGUGCUAACCAUAGGUGGAGCAAGGGAUCGAAAAAGGAUCAAGCCAGCUAUGACAAGCUUCUCAGUGAAGCACCCAAAUACAAACUCCUCACUCCUUCCAUUCUCUCUGAAGUCUGAUUGUUUAAGGAUGUCUCUUUUUCUCCCUGUCUUUUAGUUAGUUCUGAUAUAUAUUAUUCAUGUUGAUGAGGAAUCAUGUGUUGGUGUUGUUUUGGUGAAUGUUCUGUGUUAUGGUUACAUUUGAUCUCAUUUCGUACUUGACGCUGAGACAGGUGGAGUUGUCGGAGUAAGACCAAACAAUGGUGGAUGAAUGUUUAAUGGCAAGAUUUCGCUGGACAAAAAGGUUUGCUUUCUGUUUCUUUGAUUUGCAUCUUUGUGCCUUUAGGUAAUGCCAUCUACUUCUAUAUUUAUUUUUCUAUUAUCUCAUUAAAAAAACCUAUUUUUCCUUACUAUUGUUUUAUACAUGUUCCGCUCCUCUGCUGCGUGUAAUGAACACAAGUGGAGAUGAUCAGGAAGUGGGGGUCCUGGAGUUUAUCAGGUAAACUUCUUUAUUAACUACUUUAUCCAUCUCUUAUGGUCAAGAAUCUUGGUCCACUGAUUGCGCUCCAAAAACAUGCUUUUCUGACACUUUUGUGAGGAGGCUGGGUUUGUGGAUGUUGCCCAUGUUCCUAAGCUUUCAAUGCCGGAAAUAUUUCAUGGACUGCAGGUACAUCCUACUUCACAAAGCUGUAAAGUGUACCAAGAUAUAGAAAAACUAUAAAUUGUAUCAAGUUUUCAUGUUUUCUCAACUUUCUUUCUUUUGUGGGCUUAGGAUAUCCAAUCACUAAAGCUAUCAGUUGUAGUCAGGUUGAUUAUAUAUUUAGCAGAAUUAUCAUGGUAGCACAUGUAUGUAAUAUUUAGCAAUUUCAUCACGAUUUUUUUCCUUAUAUAUAAAAUUCAUUUUUUCGUUUUA